rnacentral:rRNA from 1 species
GACGAACGCUGUCGGCGUGCUUAACACAUGCAAGUCGAACGGAAAGGCCCUGCUUUUGUGGGGUGCUCGAGUGGCGAACGGGUGAGUAACACGUGAGUAACCUGCCCUUGCCUUUGGGAUAACUUCAGGAAACUGGGGCUAAUACCGGAUAGGAGCUCCUGCUGCAUGGUGGGGGUUGGAAAGUUUCGGCGGUUGGGGAUGGACUCGCGGCUUAUCAGCUUGUUGGUGGGGUAGUGGCUUACCAAGGCUUUGACGGGUAGCCGGCCUGAGAGGGUGACCGGCCACAUUGGGACUGAGAUACGGCCCAGACUCCUACGGGAGGCAGAAGUGGGGAAUAUUGAACAAUGGGCGGAAGCCUGAUGCAGCAACGCCGCGUGCGGGAUGAAGGCCUUCGGGUUGUAACCCGCUUUCGCCUGUGACGAAGCGUGAGUGACGGUAAUGGGUAAAGAAGCACCGGAUAACUACGUG